rnacentral:sRNA from 1 species
UCCUGUUUCAACCAACCAAUCAAAAGAUAGCCUUUGCCAGGGGCUAAGGUGUGGUGGGUUGGCUUAAUGCUGCUUGUAUUCUAACGCUGAUUUGGGGCCUCCAAGACUGGGGCCCUAGAGAGUCUACAGGGGAGAGAGUGGCUGGUAAGAUACUGCCCCCAGUUAGUUGUGAUUGGUAAAUAAAGAUGCCAAUAGCCAAUAGUUGGGCAGAGGGGAGAUAGGUGGGGUUGAUGUUUCACUUGGGUGAGAGAGGACCACGAGGAGGGAAGGAGAAGGAAGCCACCAUGGAAGAUGGUUGUGCAGGAGGGAGGAGAGCUGCCAUGGGCUAGGAGCCAAGAGACCAGGGCCCAGAGGGCUGCCCAACUGGAGUUCAGAGCAGCCCGGAUGGAACGCAGUAAGUGGUAACGGGGUUUUCGAUAGGAAGUAGGUUCUAGCAGCACGGAGGGUAGGCAGCUGCCUGGCUAUUGUGGCAUAUUAAAGAUAUAAAGGCUGCGUGUGCCUUCCAUCCGGGAACAUAAACGGCAUGAGGUGAGGAAGAAGCCCCGGGCUGGGAUUUUUAAUAUUUAUUACUACACUGAGGAGACGGCUCAACUGGGCCUUGCUGACCAGCCGGUCUAACUGAAUCAGCAAGCCCCAGAUUCAGCGAGAGCAAUCUUGUUCAAAAAAAGCAAGCAAUAGAGCAACACACCUGUCAAACAUCUCUUGUCACCACAUGCAUGUAAACACACGUGUGGCCAAAUCUAUACACACAUACGAAUGUGUACACGCACAAGCUUUGACAGAAUGCAUGGGAUACAGCGUCUCUCACUGUUCUCUCUAACUUUUAUGGGUAAGAUGGUCUUCUCCCUUGACUACUCUCUUAGGCCAUUGUGGGUUGCUGUAACUAACACCUGAUACUUGGCAAUAUAUCCAGGAUUGAAAUCAGAGCUGUGCAUGUCCAGAGGAUGGUGACAGCUCCAGUCCUCUCUGGCUUCCUCACCACAGACGUCACCAUGGUGGGAGGCACUGUGGUGGGAGCAGUGGAAGUCAAGGAAGCCAGAGGGACAAAGCCAGGUUCACCUUUAAUCAUUGCCUGCUUUCUUCAAACUGACAAGAAGCCCAUGAAAACUACCCUGAUCCCCUCCGAAACAGCAUUAGCAUAACCACCUAAUUCCUGGACCCCGAACUCUUAAAAGUUCCAUUCCCUCCACAAUGUCCCACUGAAGACCACACCUCUAGCAGACACUCAAGCCAGCUCCCAACCAGAGCUGCCUCAACUUAAGACUUUUGGUAAUGAGGUCUGUUUUGUUUUGUUUUAUUUGUUUGUUUGUUAGUCCAAUCAGAAUUAACCCAUAUUCGUUUCAGUUACCUUGACACCUCACACACAAGCUUAUUAUUACACAUAACACCCCAUUAUACUAGUAGGCUUAAUUGCCUCUCUUCCCCGAUAGUCCGGAGGCUUUCGGUGAGCAAACACUGUUUUGGUCCACAUUUCCCAGAGCCUGGUAUAGUCUAAAGAGUCAACAUCAUUGAAUAAACCUCGGAAGCUGUGACGUUCCAAAUGGAAGACGGCGAGUGCUCCUCAAGUUUAAGUGACUAGAUCUAGGGAGCCGGCCUUCAUCCAGCACAUGCGCAGUGUGGUUAGGGCGUCCUGUUGGUCCGUCUGGCUCAAAGAGAGCAUGCUCCACCGCCCAGGAAAAGUAGCUGUUCGCUAAUUUAGACUCUCACCCAGUGUAGUCCCUGAAUGGGCAACACUUUCCCCCGUUUCUUGAGAACAGGAUGAUAAAUAAUGCAGCGACAGUACAGGAGAUAUUAAUUCUGGUACGCCACGCCGCCACUCAGCUUUAGAACCCAGGAAGGAAGCGAGACUUAACACGGCGCGUUGCAGCCUUAGAAAAGGCCAUUCGAACUGAAGGUGACCUUGGAGGAGGAACAAGAAAGGUUCCGCUGAAGCCUGGCUCACUUCCAGCUGACUGAAGGAAAGCAUGAGACCGUAUCGGUCAACACAGAAAGUCCUCAGCUCAGCUAGAGACUGUACUCCAGCUUUGCUCUGUUACCAAUAUUUUUCAGUCCCUCCUUUUCUCUGUGCCAGUACAGAUGGAGCUAAGUGACAAGGGUCUGCACCAUCACAGGCCAAAGUCACUUAUGCUGUUGCUGCCUGUGCAGCCAGGAAUGUGAGGGGAGAGUUCCCGCAGCGGGCUGGAAUCACAUACUUGGAACUGACUAUAAUUUAGCUCUGAAGUCCGGAAUCACUCCAUGCAGAGAGCACGCUGCUUUCUCAUAUAUCUACGCCCUGGUGUGUUAAGUCACCUAGGAAGCCAGAGGAAGCUUAGCUGAUGUGUUGAACUACUUGCCCCUUCGAUUCAGGGCACAUCGCCAUCGGCGUCCUGAAGCCCUUGCCCCUGUCAAAUGUAUUGUUCCUCGUUCCUG